GACGAACGCUGGCGGCGUGCCUAAUACAUGCAAGUCGAACGCACAGUUUAUACCGUAGCUUGCUACACCAUAGACUGUGAGUUGCGAACGGGUGAGUAACGCGUAGGUAACCUGCCUGGUAGCGGGGGAUAACUAUUGGAAACGAUAGCUAAUACCGCAUAAUAUUGAUUAUUGCAUGAUAAUUGAUUGAAAGAUGCUAUUGCAUCACUACCAGAUGGACCUGCGUUGUAUUAGCUAGUAGGUGAGGUAACGGCUCACCUAGGCGACGAUACAUAGCCGACCUGAGAGGGUGAUCGGCCACACUGGGACUGAGACACGGCCCAGACUCCUACGGGAGGCAGCAGUAGGGAAUCUUCGGCAAUGGACGAAAGUCUGACCGAGCAACGCCGCGUGAGUGAAGAAGGGUUUCGGAUCGUAAAGCUCUGUUGUAAGAGAAGAACGGGUGUGAGAGUGGAAAGUUCACACUGUGACGGUAUCUUACCAGAAAGAGACGGCUAACUACGUG
rnacentral:rRNA from 1 species